ACUCCAGGUUACAAGGGGCGGCGGCCUUGGGGGGCUGCAGAGGCACCCUCCCACGCCUCGCACAAUGCAGUGCCUCCGCAGUCCAGAGGGGAGCUGUGCGCUCGGCUCCGAGCCGGACGGGUUUCGUAAUCGCGUCGCCGCCGCUUCCGCCCUCAGCCGGCCCCACCUCUGCCGGCUCGUCCUGGGCUCCCCCACCGGGCCGCAGAGCUAGCCCGGGAAGCCCACACUGGCGGCCACGGAGCAGAGCCCCUCACCCCCGCCAGCUGUAGCUGAACGUCUGGAUACCGGAGAAGUUCAGGGUUCCAAGUCUGAGGAAGACAUAACCUUGUGCCUGCCUGCCCACCUCUCUCUCUGGUCCUGUUCAUCUCUCAGGCUCUGAGACACUGACCUUCACUGCUCAGUUAAGGGUUCCAGGGAUUCUACUUUCUCUGGACCCAUCCAGCUGAGUGAACCCAGGGUAUUGUUAUAUCUGGGGAGAGUGAGGAGUGGGUUGUCCAAACACCAGAGCAAGAGCCCUUUGGGGCCUCAGACAGAGGAGUGAAGCUGGAACCAUCAGGGAACAUGAGUGAAUUUUGGCACAAACUGGGCUGCUGUGUGGUAGAGAAACCCCAGCCGAAGAAGAAGAGAAGACGGAUUGACCGGACCAUGAUUGGGGAACCAAUGAAUUUUGUCCACCUGACUCACAUUGGCUCUGGGGAGAUGGGGGCCGGAGAUGGACUUGCCAUGACAGGUGCAGUUCAGGAGCAGAUGAGAUCCAAGGGAAACCGAGAUAGGCCAUGGAGCAAUUCUAGGGGCUUAUAGCUCCAAUAAUGGAACGGUUCUGCCAUCUUGAAACCCCCAUUCUGUUUCCAGCCCAGAAGAAAUGCUGCCCCUACCAGAUCCCUCCUUGAACCAGUGAUCUAAGGACCCCUCUUUUCCCUAUCUGCCUAACAGUGCCUCACAAGGCUUGGGGGCUGGACUCCCUCUACUCCCUCUGGCUAUAGCCCCUCCUGGAGAUGGGGUCAAGGCAGCAGGACUGACCAAGUGACUACUGGUUAGCCAGAGGAGCUCAGCUGAAGCCCUGGACACCUUCAGAUCUGAGAUAGGAGUUCUCUAGGAACCUGGAAUGAGUUCCUGUCUCCUGAAUGAUGGUCUGGGUGCCACCUGUUUUUAAACUCUUAACCUGGAACUCCUUAAAUGGGGUAGGUGGGUGAGAUUAUCAAAGCUGAAGCUGGCUUUACUGAGAAGCUCCCUACCUCCCUGCCGUUCUUCCUCCUGAACGAACUAAAGCAGAUGUCAAACGGGCUGGUGGGGGUGCCUCCUCCCUUUUCCACUCUUCAGAUUUCAAACUUUAGGCUCACAGCCCCUCAAUAUCUCUCUGCUAAUACCAGUGUCUCUCUCUAGUUAGGCCUCUAAUCAAUCCUCUGUUUCUGUUUACCAGCUUCCCAGCAACUUUCCUCUUUUAAAAUAUUAAAAAUUUAAUUCAGGUUCUCUUAAUUAUCCCCAUCCUGCUGUUGCCUCCACCCUUAACUCUAUCCCUAUUAGGAACCUUGUUUCCCACCGAAUAAGAGUUAAGGUAAGAGAUAGCUUUUCACCUGAUGACAUUCCAUUUAAGUCUUGGGGCAUUUUUCCUGCCCUCUGCCAACCUCCCUGGUGGCCCAGGUGAGAGGAGGAAGAGGGGUCUGGAGAGAAACCCAGAAUGCAGCACAACUAGGAGUAAGUCCAUCUCAAGGUGGACUUCUGAUCAUUGAGGAUGGUGAGAUAAAUAGGUUGAAAACAAUCAUCUGUGAGUUUAGGAGUCUUAAGAUCCUCACAGCACGGGAGCAGGGAGAGGCUCUAGAACAAGGUUUCACAACCGAGAUGCCUUUGACAUUUUGGGCUGAAGUGUUCUUGGUAAAGGAUACCUGUUUCCUGUUUUGUGCAUUACAGGAUAUUUGGCAGCAUCCCUGGCCCACCCUAGUUAUGACAACCAAAAAUGUCUCUAUACAUUGCCAAAUUUCUCCUAGGGGGCAAAAUCGCCUCCAUUUGAGAACCACAGCUCUAAAGUCAAGAUAUUUUUCUCCGAAGUGAUUUCUGCUUGGCAUGCUACCCUCAUCAUGUUACUCAUCUUAAGCCCGAGCCAUGGAUGAACUAGGAGCUCGUAUAAAUGAGGCCCAGCAGGGCUGCACAUAAUCUCCAAACAAUUCUUUAUUCAGUGUUUUGCUUGUGCUCGCAUGUUGCUGUGAUGGACAGGUCCCAUGCUCUCCAUUCUCGCCCUCUGGAGAAGUGGUUCCUACAGUGUAGAUAUGAACAGGGUAUGGUAGGAUUGAGGAUGGGGGAGAGAGAAGCAGUAGAUACACUCCUUAUCCUCCCCAAAUUUUAAGCUCUAUUUCUGUGCCCUAGUCCUAGAACCAGACACACAUUAGACUCAGGGAGUUUUGUCUGAAGACCAGGUCCCACUGCCCCCCACCCCCGGCUGAAGAGUCUGCUUUAGAUGGGAAAACAACGUAGGAGCAGGGGUCUUUAGGCACUUUCAGUAUUCUCAGGUGUUCUUUGUUCUGGCCCUUCCAGGUAAUUAGGAAGGCAGAACAAGACAGAUGAGCUCCUGCCUGCUGUGAGACAAGAAGGCUGGGGUCUCAUUCGAUUUGCAACAGGAAACAUCCUGUUUUAUGGUAGUGGGGUCAGGAAGGUAGGAACUGGUAUCCAUUCUGCCAAUUCCACCACCCAUUCAGUUUGCUUAUACCUACAGAGCAGUGACUGAGGUUCUAUUUUUUUUUUUUUUUAAUUUCCAUGUAUUUUCUGCCAUUUUUCAGGGUCUAAGAUUGGUCAUACAUUCCCAAUUUACUCUCAGUUCCAGUCAAGCUGGUUGCUCUGAAAGUAACCCAACUUGUUGCCCUAAAAUACCUCAGUAGCCUGAGUGUUAUACUAGAGAUCUAAAGGGUUAACAGGAUAGGAUAGAAAGAUUAGAGACUCCUGGAAAUCUCUGGUUACCAUGAUCUUCAGCCCCAUUUAAUACCUGUUCUUUGGACACAGUCUUUUUCCUUUGGUGCUCUCUUGCCUUUAGCUACCUUCUCUAAUAUGUAUGCUACCAUCACUAAUAAAGUGAUGGGAAUGGGUUUGAGAGUCAUAAUUUAUAUUAAAAAGUUGUUGGACUUUUAAAUACAUUUUUCAAAUAAAAAAAUUUAAGCAAAAUAGUUGCACAGUAA